rnacentral:rRNA from 1 species
UGGGGAAUUUUGGACAAUGGGCGAAAGCCUGAUCCAGCAAUGCCGCGUGUGUGAAGAAGGCCUUCGGGUUGUAAAGCACUUUUGUCCGGAAAGAAAUCCUUGGGCUCUAAUACAGUCGGGGGAUGACGGUACCGGAAGAAUAAGCACCGGCUAACUACGUGCCAGCAGCCGCGGUAAUACGUAGGGUGCAAGCGUUAAUCGGAAUUACUGGGCGUAAAGCGUGCGCAGGCGGUUUGCUAAGACCGAUGUGAAAUCCCCGGGCUCAACCUGGGAACUGCAUUGGUGACUGGCAGGCUAGAGUAUGGCAGAGGGGGGUAGAAUUCCACGUGUAGCAGUGAAAUGCGUAGAGAUGUGGAGGAAUACCGAUGGCGAAGGCAGCCCCUGGGCCAAUACUGACGCUCAUGCACGAAAGCGU